CCCACUGUCUUCAGAGCAUCCACAAGUGUCAUGUUUUCAUGGAUCAUUAAAAAGGCAAGCACUAAAGUUGCAGAGCGGCUCACUCCCAUGGCACAAUGAACGAGCACCUUACCUGCACAAACAAAAAGGCACAGCAAGAAGACACACUCUGAUGAUUACCAGUACACCAUGCGUGAUCCUUGCCACUGAUGUGGAUGUGGUUUUACUGGUCACUCCUAAUCUCUCAGGAUCCUGCUGUUUUCCCACGUGCCAGUGAAGACAAUGUCUAUGCUGCUAAACCGGCAAAGAAAGUGAAACACGCCCUCCAACUUCAGCAACUCAUUUUGGGAAACUACAGAUCAUUUCGUGUAAAAAACAAAAGCAGGACAGAACAGACUGCAUAGAGAGAGAGAAGCAUCUUUGAACCAGUAUCAAGGCUUGUGGAAAGGAGCAGAUGUUCUCAAGGCUUCUGAGAGAUGUUCUUCACGGUUUCUCUUUUGAAUAGAUACAGUCCAUUACAACCGAGAUAGUACAAGAGUGCAUGUUUGCAUAGGAUUGCUUGAUGACUCGACAAUUCGACUUAGAUUUGAACAGUUUUGAAAUGCAAAAUUUCCAUGUUUCACAACAGCAGCAUAUAAGAUCUGCAAUUUAAACUUUUUUUAUUUAUUUAUUGCAAAUAUCUCAAGCCCACUUUCUCUGAAAAGGCAGUGUCAUUAACUUCAUGGAACUGCACCGGCACCCCCUUUUAUUUCAACGGAAGCUACAAGUUAGGCUUCUCUCGGAUCUCAUAGUAAUUGCAUCAUCAACAAAACAAACUCUGACUUCUCAGUUCCUCAAACUGUUGCAAAGGGCUGGGCUGAUACCCCAGACAGUUGGUAUCCAAAAUAAAUUUAU